rnacentral:rRNA from 1 species
AUGGAGAGCGAAGGCAGCACGAGCCCCAAUGGCGGCGCCGGUGCCGCCUGCGCGGUCUGCGGCGGCGCGGCGGCCUUGUACUGUCCGGCGGACGCGGCGGCUCUCUGCGUGCCCUGCGACGCGGCUGUCCACUCCGCGAACCCUCUGGCCUCCCGCCACGACCGCGUGCCGCUGACGGCCGCCGUGGCGGCGACCUCCGGCGUGUACGACCUCUUCGUGGCUGACGACGAAGGCGGCUCGUCCUGGCCGACGCCGGGGCCGGGGCAGAGGCAGGGGAGCCCCAGCAGCGGCUCGUCCGGCUUCAGUAACGGCGGCGGCGUCGAGAUGAGCCUGUUUGACCUGCUCUCCGACGUCAAUCUCGUGGCCACCGGCGCCGGCGGAAGCGUGCCAUCGGACGGCGGUGUCGCGCCGUUGUGGCUGCAGCCCGGCCUCGCCGCGGACGCCUCUGCUGCGUGGACCCCCUCGUGGUCGCCGUCGGAGGCUGUCGUCGUCCCGUCGGCGGCGGACAGGGCGGAGAGGGUCAGGCGGUACCGCGAGAAGCGCAAGAACCGCAAGUUCCACAAGACCAUCCGCUACGCCUCCCGCAAGGCGUACGCCGAGGCGCGGCCCAGGAUCAAGGGCCGCUUCGUCAAACGCCCCGCGGCGGACGACAGCAUGAGCGCCGGCGAGGCGGCCAAAUUCUGGCUCUCCUUCUCCGACAACAGUGUAGGGUUUCAAGUUGCAUCCCAUGGAGUCGUGCCAAGCUUCUAG